AAUGACAAAGCCCAAAACGAGGCCGUGCCCUUCCUGCCAGGCCCCAAAUUCCCUGAAGAGGAAGACUUGUUGGAGCUGCAUCUGCCCUCUUCAGCAGAGCGCUCCAGAUCUAGAUAGUUGGGCAUCGGCUGUUAAGGCCAACAAGAACAAACACCGGAUCUUGAAGUCUGCCCAGAUAUCUGUUUCUAAACUAAAUGCUCUCAGCUACUGCCCACUGCUUUCUGUUGGACAACGUGGUCGAAAGGGGGACAUUCAUACCGACAUGAUUCACCACAUCUCGGCAGAUGGAGUUGUGCGAAACAUACUGAAAAAAAUGGAGAUGCUUUAUGAGCACCUCCUCAUAAAGUUCCAAGUAGCUGGGACAACAGAUGCUGGAGCAGGACAAGGACACAAAGAGGAAUUUGUUCUUCACCUGGUACCUGUUUCACCCCCCACAACCUUCACCUCCUCUCUGCCUCCUCCCCGUCGAACCUACACCUCCUCUCCGCCUCCUCCCCCGCAACCUUCACCUCCACUCCGCCUCCCCCCUCCAACCUUCAACUCCACUCUGCCUCCUCUCCCUCUAACCUACACCUCCUCUCUGCCUCCUCCCCCCAACCUUCACCUCCACUCUGCCUCCUCCCCCCACAACCUUCACCUCCACUCUGCCUCCUACACCUCCUCUCUGCCUCCUCCCCCACAACCUUCACCUCCUCUCUGCCCCCUCCCCCGCAACCUUCACCUCUACUCCGCCUCCUCCCCUCCAACCUUCACCUCCACUCCGCCUCCUCUCCCUCUAACCUACACCUCCUCUCUGCCUCCUCCCCCCAACCUUCACCUCCUCUCUGCCUCCUCCCCCCCCACAACCUUCACCUCCUCCCCCACCUCCAUCUUCUCUCCUCCCUUGAAAAGAAGACUGGUGAAAGAAUGUAGAAAACACAGGACCUAGAAGGUAUUCUUUUUUGAAGAGAUCAUUGACCAAAGAGUUGCAAACAGUUCACUCCAGAUCCUCAAGGUCAGAGUCGCUGUCAGAAUAUUCCUCUGAAAAGCUUUGAAGGAAGUUCUGUGCUCCAGUCAAAACUUGAAGGUAAGCAGUGUCUCGCAAAAGCCAUCAUUUCUCUGACACGAUGCAGCUUCUGUUUGGCGAUGCUCUGCAGACCUUUCAUCCCGUCUUCAGUCCAAGCCCACGGUGAAUCUUGAACAUAAAACCAAGCCAGUAUUAGUGACUUUAUCAUCAGUCAUUGAUGUGUACAUUCAUGUGAUGUCAAAUCUAAAAACAUACCUUGCAUUGUUGUCCUAGUCAUCAGAGAAGACAGCUCUUUUAAGGAAUCCCCACGAACUCCAGUGGUGGUUCAUCUCUCACAAAAGGAUCGUUUUUUCUUCCUGAAGUCUCUGUUCCGCCAUGACACUGUCGAGAUCCCUUUCUCCUGCCUGAUCUUCCGGCGGAUCCUUGCACGACCUUUGUUGGAGUCAUAGUCUUUAUAAAGUCGCUGGGAGCGUCUCUUUACACUCACAACCAGCAUCUCUAUCUUCCUGGCCAAGGCAGCAGCGUCUGUUGUGUUGUUGGUUGUUGCUGUAGAGAAGAAAAGUGUGUGUUACACUUUGACUAACUUAUAUAAUAGUGCCAUUUCACCUCAAUUUUUUUUAAUUCUCCAAUACCAUUUUAUUAAGGCAAUGAACUGAAAACCUUAGUUUUUGUAUUUUUGUAUCUGAAAUGAAACCCAACAGAAAACAUAUUUUACUAUUAACCCAAAAUUAGCUAUUACUGUGAUGUAAAGUAUCAUAAUAUAUCCUGAAAGCUCUGAAAGUGAAGAAUAUUAUAAGAUAGUUUUAUCACUAAUUCUGAAAACUAACAAAUUAUGAUGACAAAAAGUCAGUUAUAAACUCUGCUGAAAAAAAAAACAGUAAUAAUUUCCUCACUUUCUGCCCAAUCCUUCACAUCCCUGACCCAGUCUUCGAAUUGCCCAUCGGUCGCUGCCAACUCGGCCUUCAUCGACUCCACUUCCUUGUCUUCACUUCAAAGACACUGAAAUUUGAAAUUGAAAUAAUAAGUAAAAAAAAAAUCAGUCCACAAUUGAACUAUAACUACCAAAGAAUCUUAAAUGUUUUUAAAAAGUUGAAUUGCUUUAAAAUAUCUGCGGAACAGGUAGGUGGCCAAGUUGUUCAUCUUCUGCUCAUUCCACCAAAUGGCCAUGAGUGUUAACAUGUCUGUACGCCCUACAACAGAAAAUAUGAUGUUAUCACUAUUUUGCUAAUUUCCUAAACCAAAGUUUAUACUAUGUGGCCAACUCACCUGCUUUUGACAUGUGCUUUGUCGUAACUGCUAUCCUAGAGAGGAAGGCAUUCACUUGUUCCUCCUCCUCCCCAAGUGUUAACCCAGCCCCCUCCAGAAAUGCUCCACUCCAUUUGAUCUGUUAAAAUAUAUUAAAAAACAAGGCAUGUUAUAAUUUGUCAAUGUUGACGUUAAGGUUUUCACAUAAAGUUAUUCCGUCAUACGGUGAUGAUUACUUACUUCACAUUUAAAAUCUUGGGCUUUUGCAUGAAACAACGAGAGGAAGGGCUUCAUUUCCAGCAGAUGUUCAAACUCAGGGCAGCUUCUAAUGAUUUUCUCCAGGUAUGGCCAAUACUUGCAGGCUACAUCCAUGCAAAAGAAUGUAGGCCUACUACUGGUCAGCUUCUCCUGUAGAAAAAGGGGAUAGGCAAAAAUGUCUCCCCUGUACAUGUUGAGAGCACAGAGGAGGACUCCAUGCCGACACACAGCCAGCUCCAGUCCCUCCUCGUCCAGUUUGCUGGCUGAUUUUUGGGACGUCAGAUGAAGACAGACAGACAGAUAGACAGACAACAGAAAAUUGGACUAAUAAGACAAACACAAAGGUAAGCACAGGGACAGUGAUAGAGAGAGAGUGUUAGAGUGAGUGAGAGAGAGGGAGAGAACGGCUAACAGGUAAAACACAGCAAGGACAGGUUAACAAGAAAGACGUGGCUCUAAAAAGUGCCUUUGGGUUGUUUUGUUUUCAAUAAAACAGGAAAGGGUUGGUAGGAUGACAAAUUUGCAGGAUCUGUUGAGAAAAGAGAGAGCAGAAUUGGGAACUCAAACCUGGACGAGAUACAGUACAGAUUGUAUUAUCAUAAUUGACAAAUAAAAGACACCAUUUCAUUUGAAGGUAUAUGUAGGCUAGGUCUAUGCUAGGUCACUGUGCAAAAUAAUCACAGCCUCCAAUCAUUACAACAAGGGAAGGGUGGCAGUAGGGAAGGGGGUUUUGACAGAAGGGUAGGAUAAAGAAGUAGUUGCUGCCUAUGUGAUUUUGCCCUGCCCCUCAGUGAUCACUUUGUUGAACUUCUGGUGGUAGCAUAUCACUUCUAGAUAUAAGUAGGCCUAGGCUACAACUUGUGAUCAUUUAACCUAAAAUUGUGGAAACAAUGAUUAAAGCCUAUUUUUUGUGAUUUUUCAGACAGAACCGUAUUUAUUUCAACAAUUCUUAUUCUGCAUACAUGUUGCUAAUGUACAGAGAUUAUAAUCAUUAUAUGUAUACUGUCUAUGAUCAACAACGGUAGGUAUACAUGUUGUAGGAGUGGAAAAUAGUGUGGUAGACUUUUGGGUAGGCUGUCUGAAUGCUUUAUGUCCAUCAAAGCACCUCUCAGUCAUUGAUGCCAGGUAGGCAUCGCACACCACAUUAAAGAUCACAUCAUGAUCUGAUCGAAAACAUUUAUGAAACGUGUUUCUUGUUCAUGGCAACGGUCAUUAUAGUUUUAUGCAAAGCUCUUCAAAUAAAAUGACACCAAAAUAAAGUUGAAAUUUAAAGACGCAGCCUUUUCAUCCUGUAGGCUUACUAGCUGGCUAAAAUACGUCUCUGCACAUUUAUGACAGUGCAGUGUCUUAAAUAAAUCUGUCAAAUUAAUGAUAGACUACAGUUCUAAAUGGGCUACCAGCUACAUUUGGGCUGAUUCUAUCAUUUUUUGUGGCGCAGAUUUUUGUCCUAUUUUUUUCUUUUUACUCUCUUAACCAUGCAUG
rnacentral:lncRNA from 1 species